GGCAAGACGAUAUCGAUCCCAGCAUUACCAGGAUUAAGUUGACUCUCCCGGCCAAUAAUCUAUGAAUGGUCAUCAUCAUGUGUUGGUGUGUGUCCCAGUCAGUUAGCUAAUAGAUAAUGAGUGUAGAAUUUCUACAAUGUACAUUAACGGUGGUGUUAUCAACGUACAAGUCGCACAUCCUGGAUACCAACAGUAUUCCUCUACCCAAACUCUCACUCGACGAUAUUGACCAAUUUAACGUAGUGCGCCGUUUACUUCAAUAGAUGAGUUUCGAUGGACCCUAUGGUUCGUCUAUUUGUGAUUCAAUAGUCCGAUAGUUCCAGAUAGCAGCCGUACAUAUUGACCAAUUUAGAAGUGUUCUUGUCGACACGUGUACUCUUAGAACGAUGUAAUUAACAUGUCGACGUUCUGUGAUUAUUUUUGAAAAGAGUGGAACCACUCUGGAAGAUAUUCCUUACAAGACAGUACUUAACGUGGAACCGUUCUGGGAAGUGCGUGUAGCCGGACGUUAUAUAACAAGGUUUGUUUCCAUCGAGGCAGUAUACAUGGUUGCGGUUCUGUUCUAUAUGGAGUGAGAAACCGUUCUGUUAGAUAUAUGAAGCCAGACAAUAUUUAACGUGAUACUGUUCUGACAAUAUGAAAAAGAUGUUUGGAAUGAAUAAAAGGAAGUCUGGUGUAAAAUUAUAAAUCGGUGAUGUCGUGGACAAACAAUCUACUGACGGGUGUGUACUUCCUGUACAUGCUACCUGCUAUAUAUGGUGCACCGGGAAAUCUCACGUGUUAUACCUGCUCCUCCAGUGAUCCUAAUGGUGAAUGUGUUAUCAACGCCACACUGUCGACAGUUACAGCGUGUGCACCAGCUGAAAUAUACUGCAGGGU